UGCACGUUUUUUCCCGCGUAUCAUAAGAAUACAUCCUUAAUUGAAGAAAUAUAUGUCCAUGGUACAUGGUACAUGUAGAUCAUUAUUUGCCUUUUUGUAAAAUACUUGGUACCUCAGACAUUUACAAUAUCUGUAGACCACUCUUAGUUGAAUGAGGGAGGAAGUGGCUUAUUGAUUUUAAUGGCGGCAGUGCAACUGUGGGUGUGUAUGUUUGAAAAACAUUAACAAAGGCAAACUCAAUGAUGUCACGUGUAAACGAUUGGAAACGGUUUGGGAGGGCUUUGCUCUACUUCCUCUUUGCACUAUAGAUAUACAGAUAAUUCAGAAGACUGUGGUAAUAAGCUUCAUCACAAACCAAAAGAGAUAGGACUCUGCAAUGCAGCGCAUUUUGAUAUUCAUUAUUUCUUGGUGUUUGAUAAAUUAUUUAAAGUAAGUCUUGUUUUCACAAGAACCACUAAUGAAGGCCUAAUUUAGAAGAGAGCAUGGUUUAAGAACCAUUAAAAUCAGAUGGAGAAAACCAUGAAAAGCAGAUUGAGAAAUGGAGACCGGAUUUUAUACUAAUCCCUGUGAAGCCACCAUCAAACACCACAAACCAGGACCCAAUCCGGAACCCACAUAGCAAGAGAAAGAGGGGACAUCCAACAGAUUAUCAUGAAGUUUUAUGUGUUAAUUGAUUACUUUUUGUUCUUAAAAUUCUUUUCUUAACAAAAUUGCAAUUGUUACCUGAAAUUAUCACACUGAUUUUGAAUAUUUGGUGAAUAAAAUAUAUACUUUGACGCCUAAA